rnacentral:lncRNA from 1 species
AUGCUCCAGACCGCGCACCUGACAGUGAUGACGACCUCCAACCCGCUCGCACCUGCACCAGGUGCUGCAGAGUCCCCGGACCCCGGCGGGGUGAGACCCGUGGACAGCGGGCUUCUCGCGGCCACAGGUCCUCGCCCCCUGAGCCCGGCGCUGGGGUCACCGGGCGCUGGGGUCACCGGGCGCUGGGGUCACACGGCGCUGGGGUCAGGGGAGCGGGCGGCGCGCGGCCCCGAGAGCCCGUCCCUUGGGGGCGCGUCCGCCGGGGGUCCCGCGGGCGCUCGCAGGGCUCUCCCUCCCCGGCGGGACUCCGCGGGCCUCGCCCCAGCCGCCCGCGCCCCAGAGCGCCCCGCUCCCCGGGGUCCGACCCGAAUCGGCCGCGCGGCCGCCGCGGGAGGGAGCCGGACCCGCUCCGCCCGCGCCUGCCUCAGUCUCCCGCUCCCUUACCUUGCUCGCCGGCGGGAGCGGGCGAGGAGGCUCCGGGCGAGCUGGGGGCCCGACCAAGGCAGCCCGCGCCCGCGCCCGCCCCGCGCCCGCGGCCCCGGCCCCGCGCCCCCGGUCACUAAGGCCGGCCCGCGGCCGGACACUGGCGGAGCGGAGGAGGAGCGGGCCCGGCUGCGCGUCGCCGGCGUCAACGUGCCCGACGUCGGGCGCGUCGGCGCAGCGUCAGCACAGAGCGCCGCCGGCCCGCCCCGCCGCCCCCCCCAGGAGAGGGGCCGCGGCGGCCCAAUGCGCAAGCGCCGCCUCUUCAGGUGGGGCGGGCUGCGAUUGGCUGGCCGCAGACGGGGCCACGCCCCCUCCGGCCCCGCCCCCAAGGCCCGGCUCAGGUGCGGUCGUCUCCGCCCAGCCGGUGCUCCGGCCUCUGGUCCUCGCCCCGGGGGAAUCUUCCACCUCCAGGGCUGCCCCCAAAUCUUUUCCUACAGCCACGGGGACCCCAAAGGCCGUUAUCGAGCGUCUGCUGUGCAUCCAGACACUCCCCACACGUCACGUCCACACACCUUCCAGGAGAGCGCGCCCAGGCGCAGGUCACCUGCUCGCAGCCGGUCGGAGCCCGCGGUGUCGCCUCUCCUUGGAACCGAUCCUUACAGGACUCAGAAGGACGCCGUUUCUGCGCAAGACCCAUUCACCGAGCUUUACCUGCUGUACUCGGGGAGGGUACAGAGAUGGGCAGAGCUGGACGCUGAGGCUCCUGGGCGCUGGGUCGAGAAUGCAGCCUUUGGAGCCAGGCACACCUGGUUCAACUCGCAGCAGAUCCUUUUCCCUGCGGCGUGGGCCUGGGCAACUCAGGGGAACCCGGAUGGGAUUCACUGCCCCAUCUGUAAGAUGCGAAAAUGA